UACGUAGGUCCCGAGCGUUUGUCCGGAAUUACUGGGUGUAAAGGGUGCGCAGGCGGUCUUGUGCGUCAGAAGUGAAAUAUCACGGCUUAACCGUGAGGGUGCUUUUGAAACGGCGGGACUUUGAGUACGGGAGAGGAUGAUGGAAUUCCUGGUGUAGCAGUGAAAUGCGUAGAUAUCAGGAGGAACACCGGUGGCGAAGGCGGUCAUCUGGCCCGGUACUGACGCUCAGGCACGAAAGUGUGGGUAGCAAACAGGG
rnacentral:rRNA from 1 species